GGACAAUAAGGCAAUAGGUUGAUCCAAUGCAAUCCAAGAAUAUAACAGAAACAUGGAUAGUGACAACUCAAUGGAAAAGAUUAUUUCUAUGCGCAAGCUGUCAUUUGUAUGGUUCCAUAACCUUUUUCUUCCCGGCGCAUUACAUCGUUUGCUUUUUUAAAUCUUGAAGAGAGUUUGCAACCUUAUCGGGUAUUCACCUCACGUACAAUGAAUAUUUCUUGUCCUGGUUGAUAAAUAUUAUUAUUAGCAAUUAUUUGUUUUCUAUUUCUA